UACGGAGGAUGCAAGUGUUAUCCGGAAUCACUGGGCGUAAAGCGUCUGUAGGUGGUUUAAUAAGUCAACUGUUAAAUCUUGAGGCUCAACCUCAAAAUCGCAGUCGAAACUAUUAGGCUAGAGUAUAGUAGGGGUAAAGGGAAUUCCAGUGGAGCGGUGAAAUGCGUAGAGAUUGGAAAGAACACCGAUGGCGAAGGCACUUUACUGGGCUAUUACUAACACUCAGAGACGAAAGCUAGGGUAGCAAAUGGG
rnacentral:rRNA from 1 species